rnacentral:rRNA from 1 species
GACGAACGCUGGCGGCGUGCUUAACACAUGCAAGUCGAACGGAAAGGCCCUGCUUUUGUGGGGUGCUCGAGUGGCGAACGGGUGAGUAACACGUGAGUAACCUGCCCUUGACUUUGGGAUAACUUCAGGAAACUGGGGCUAAUACCGGAUAGGAGCUCCUGCUGCAUGGUGGGGGUUGGAAAGUUUCGGCGGUUGGGGAUGGACUCGCGGCUUAUCAGCUUGUUGGUGGGGUAGUGGCUUACCAAGGCUUUGACGGGUAGCCGGCCUGAGAGGGUGACCGGCCACAUUGGGCCUGAGAUACGGCCCAGCCUCCUACGGGAGGCAGCCGUCGGGAAUAUUGCACGAUGGGCGGAAGCCUGAUGCAGCAACGCCGCGUGCGGGAUGACGGCCUUCGGGUUGUAAACCGCUUUCGCCUGUGACGAAGCGUGAGUGACGGUAAUGGGUAAAGAAGCACCGGCUAACUACGUG